AGGUGGAAGGACUCUCAGGGGUGGGUGGCUUUGGCUUUUGCUGAGCUGGUGGGCUCCCACAUGGGAGUUUCUGGCUAUAAUUUCUAGCUGAAUGAGUUGAUGUUGCUGUUUAGAUGGCAUCUGAUUAAACUGGUGAUGGAGUGGCCAAGGGUCAGGGGUCAGGAAGAGAAAGUACAAGCAGAAAUCAGGGGACCGAAGAAGAGGCAGAAGCACCCAAGAUCAGGGGUGGCAUCUUCUCUUAGCCUUGGGAGGAGUACAGGUCGUAUGGAGGGCUGUAGAAGGUUGUGCCAACCGGGCUUGAAUGGCUAGGUCCAAGGAUGGGACUAAGUGGCACAAGAAAAUCUGGCUUUUACUCAGCAAGAUUACCACAGCACUGUUAAUGUGUGCCACUAACUGUCCACGGUACCCGGAGCUAGCCCAUUUUCACGAUCCUCCCUCCCCCACCAUGUUCACUAGAUUGAUUUUUAUCUCACUAAAAGUCCUGUGAGGCACCUAAGAGUCUACACUAAGGGUACACAGAUGUCUGCAGACCUUGGAGUCUAAAAGAAACGAAACUAGGCUAAUGAGGCAGGGGAGUGGCUGGAGUUUUUGUAAGGAAUCAAAACAGAAUGUGAGUCGUUACAAUUCUUCAGACUAUUGUUCCUGGAAGCCCGCCAAGGGAUGUCCUGGGGACCCGAAGAGAGGUUAGCCAGUUAAUAUGCUUUCUUAAAAAUUACUUGAAUUCGCCUUAAAAAUCCGUUGGCUGCUUUCCUAACUCCGGAGGAACAAUGGCUGCAUGAUUCUCUUCCAGGGAUGAGAUUCUCCCCAGAAGUCAAAGGAAGGUGGGAGUGUGUACUCUGGCUCUCUGAGGUCACGUGGCGUUAGAUGUUAAGGAAGGAGAGAACCAAACAAUGCUACCCCAGUCUAACAGAAACGAGGCCCUCCAAUUUACAGCGGAGGAGGAUCAGGGAUCGCCCUCCUUGGGAGCAGACAGCUCUAAGAGUUGUCAGAGAGCCUGUAUUGGGCGGUGGCGUCUCAAAGGUGGUGCUGACCGUCAGAGGAAGGUAACGCGUUCUAAAAGAGCCAUCACCAUCAACGAAGGCAGACGGCACCGUCUGGAGUCCAGUGCAUCGCAAGGCUGCAUGCUCUGGCUGCUAUUGACUUCCUAACCCUCUCAGGAUAGGGAAAGGAAACUGCGCGUAACCACCCGUGUCCCCGGCCUUGUUUUACCUGCCGUAUGCGAAACGCCUGUCUUUAUGGUGAUCUCCAAAAGUGUCCCAAAGCCUGAGGGAGAUGCUCACUUCAUCAACAACAUCCCUGGACCGCUCCAGGACCUGUAGGAGGCAGAAAGAAAGUGUGAGGCAGGGGUGUGGGAGGGAGAGAGGGAGGGAUAUGCUCAAAAGUGUUCUCCAGGGGCACCCCCCCUCCCCCGCCCCCCAGGCCUUUCCAACAUCUAGUGGGACUCAAGACAACUAAUUCACCAUCUCCAUCAUGUGACUCAAACUUCCAUUGGUGCACUACAGCCACGCCCUCAGCCACGCCCUCAAGUUUGUCCUUUGCGCUUUUUUUUCCCACUCCACUCCGCCCCCACGCCCCCAAUCACCAAUCAGGUCACUUCUGCUUUAUGUAUGGGAUAUAGCUACCUGCCUCAUUUAUUUUACUCGGACUAAUAAAGAGCCAACAACAGUGAUGGCCAAAGUAUUCUUUUAAAA